GACAGAGGAGCCAAGCGUUGUCCGGAUUUAUUGGGCGUAAAGAGCGUGUAGGCGGCUAGGAAGGUCCGUUGUGAAAACUCGAGGCUCAACCUCGAGACGCCGAUGGAAACCAUCUAGCUAGAGUCCGGAAGAGGAGAGUGGAAUUCCUGGUGUAGCGGUGAAAUGCGCAGAUAUCAGGAAGAACACCCGUGGCUAAGGCGGCUCUCUAGUACGGUACUGACGCUGAGACGCGAAAGCGUGGGGAGCGAACAGG
rnacentral:rRNA from 1 species